rnacentral:rRNA from 1 species
CCCUUAGAUGUUCUGGGCCGCACGCGCGUUACACUGAUGCAUUCAACGAGUUCUUCCUUGGCCGAGAGGCCUGGGCAAUCUUUUGAACGUGCAUCGUGAUAGGGAUAGAUUAUUGCAAUUAUUAAUCUUGAACGAGGAAUUCCUAGUAAACGCAGUUCAUCAAACUGCAUUGAUUACGUCCCUGCCCUUUGUACACACCGCCCGUCGCACCUACCGAUUGAAUGGUCCGGUGAAGCCUCGGGAUUGUGGCUGGUCUCCUUUAUUGGGGGUCGGUCGCGAGAACUUGUCUAAACCUUAUCAUUUAGAGGAAGGUGAAGUCGUANCA